UGAACGCUGGCGGCGUGCCUAAUACAUGCAAGUCGAGCGAACAGACGAGGAGCUUGCUCCUCUGACGUUAGCGGCGAACGGGUGAGUAACACGUGGAUAACCUACCUAUAAGACUGGGAUAACUUCGGGAAACCGGAGCUAAUACCGGAUAAUAUAUUGAACCGCAUGGUUCAAUAGUGAAAGACGGUUUUGCUGUCACUUAUAGAUGGAUCCGCGCCGCAUUAGCUAGUUGGUAAGGUAACGGCUUACCAAGGCAACGAUGCGUAGCCGACCUGAGAGGGUGAUCGGCCACACUGGAACUGAGACACGGUCCAGACUCCUACGGGAGGCAGCAGUAGGGAAUCUUCCGCAAUGGGCGAAAGCCUGACGGAGCAACGCCGCGUGAGUGAUGAAGGUCUUCGGAUCGUAAAACUCUGUUAUUAGGGAAGAACAAAUGUGUAAGUAACUAUGCACGUCUUGACGGUACCUAAUCAGAAAGCCACGGCUAACUAC
rnacentral:rRNA from 1 species